GUGCGUUGGACUAUUGUGUCUGGAGUAUUUUGGAAAGCAAGGUUGGCACUAAAAAAUACCAAAGUGUCGAUCACCUCAAGCAAGCGCCUCGCCGGGAAUGGACCAAAAUACCGCAGAACAACAUUUGGGCAGCGUGCGACGGUUUCAUUGGCCGUUUGAAGGCCAUAAUUCGUGCCAAAGGUGACAAAUUCGAACAAAUCUAGACUUAAUCUAAAAUUUGAUUCUAUUUCCGACAUUUUUUGCUUUCAUUCAAUAAAAUUUAAAAAAAAAUGUAAAAA